rnacentral:rRNA from 1 species
GUGAGUAACGCGUAUCCAACCUUCCGUACACUCAGGGAUAGCCUUUCGAAAGAAAGAUUAAUACCUGAUGGUAUGAUGAGAUUGCAUGAUAGCAUCAUUAAAGAUUUAUCGGUGUACGAUGGGGAUGCGUUCCAUUAGGUAGUAGGCGGGGUAACGGCCCACCUAGCCAACGAUGGAUAGGGGUUCUGAGAGGAAGGUCCCCCACAUUGGAACUGAGACACGGUCCAAACUCCUACGGGAGGCAGCAGUGAGGAAUAUUGGUCAAUGGACGAGAGUCUGAACCAGCCAAGUAGCGUGAAGGAUGAAGGUCCUACGGAUUGUAAACUUCUUUUAUAAGGGAAUAAACCCUCCCACGUGUGGGAGCUUGUAUGUACCUUAUGAAUAAGCAUCGGCUAACUCCGUGCCAGCAGCCGCGGUAAUACGGAGGAUGCGAGCGUUAUCCGGAUUUAUUGGGUUUAAAGGGAGCGCAGACGGGUCGUUAAGUCAGCUGUGAAAGUUUGGGGCUCAACCUUAAAAUUGCAGUUGAUACUGGCGUCCUUGAGUGCGGUUGAGGUGUGCGGAAUUCGUGGUGUAGCGGUGAAAUGCUUAGAUAUCACGAAGAACUCCGAUUGCGAAGGCAGCACACUAAUCCGUAACUG